UGUUAAUCAAAUAAAAGGAGUAAAAGGUCCAUCUCAUCUUUUUAUUAAGGAUAACUAGAAUGUAAUCUGGGCAAUGAUAAAAACAAGGAAUGCAAAAAUAGUUUGAACUUUGAAUCAUUGGAAGAUAAACUAUUAUACAUAUAUUAAAAUCUCUUGCAUAAACAAGAUGAAAUAUCAUUGACAAAAAAACAAGAUGAAAUAUCAAAUUUGAACAAUGAUCAUUCUACUGUUACCAUAUCUCAACUGAGACAAAAUGUUUACUUUGUGUAUGCCUAAUCCAGUGACAGAGAGCCGGGACCAUAGUGUAACUUAUCGGCAAAGAUAUGGAGAUUAAUCACAAGAAGCUACAAAAAAAACUAUUUUUUCCUUUCUUGUAGAAUAAGUAAUGUCAUGGUGUCCUCACUCUUACCAUCAGUUUGCUGGUCUCUCUCCCCCUUUUUGGUUAGUUUAGGUGCUUGUUUGCUUUAUGUAAACCCAAUUAAUUCAUUAAAGAAAACCUUUUGUCAAAAAAACUGUAAGGUAAUCUUGUAAUCAUCUUUAUGUAAUCUUAUAAUCAUUGCUUCUAUCUAAGAGUUAGUGGGCGCUAAAAGCGCCACAUCCGUAUCCGAAGAUUGUGUGAACCGGGUAAAGGUUCGUUCUGUCGGAUUAUGAAGUCGUAGAGUUUUGGUUUCUUGGGCGUUAUCGUAUGGCGGGCAUGAGCAGCAGCGGUAAGUCGUGGUGUUGGGGUGUAGGAAGUGGAGUUUCUCGUGUGGCGGACUAUAGGCAGCAGCGAUAAACAAUUCUCGUUCACUAACCUAUUCUUAGUUCUAAAUUUUGCUAAGUCAACUUGUUACGUCCUUUAGGUAGUUGAAAGUUGAGUAUCUAGUUUUUCUUCUGGUUUUACUUAGUUGUUGUAUUGCAGUAAGGUAUCCCAGAGUGGGUUUAAGUCGCCGCCAUCAUGUGGGCUCUAGUGUCUGGAAAUUACCUUUCAUCCGUUAGUUGUUGUAUUAAAAUGUGAACUUUAUUUGGAAUGAAUUUCAUCCGAUGGGAAAAAAAAUCUUGUAAUCAUCAGGUUUGGUAUUUUCCUCAACAUCUCUCCGUAAGAUAUAUAAUCAUACAUCAACCGAUGAUGUUAAGUUCUGACUAAGGCACCACUAGAGAGAUGUUACACUUUCCUGACGCUUUCGUUAUAUCAAUUUGCUCGUUGUCCCAAGUCUCCUUUUCUUUAUCAUCAUAAGUUUUGGUAAUUUCCAAAGUCUUACCAGACUUCAAAUCAAUAAAGGAAAAAACAGUGAAAGUUCCAUCACUGUCUUUUUGUCAUUGUUGGGGCUCGGAUCCGUGAAGGACAAUACAAAAUGCAAAUCAUAGCUUUCUUAAGAGAACAUGUGCAUCUAUGGUGAAUACAAAGAUGUGUGGACAAAUAAACUUUUUUUUUCUUUUUUGGCACUAGAUAUGUUAUUCGUUAACUCUGACACAGUUAUGUCAGUCAAGUGCAUGACUUUUCAAGUUAUGGUCUCCCUAUGCAUACAUGUAUUUUUUUCCCAGUUAAUCUGAUAUAUCUAUGAGUUAGCAUCUAACGCAAUAUCUGUAACUGUCAUGUUUCGUAAUUUCUUCAAGAUGAAUCAAGUUGCUUCUUUUGUUAUAGAACUCAGUUCAUGGUUAUUAUUGUCACCUUGUAAUUGAGAUUAAGCGCUUAAGGUCACAUCCAACGAAAAAUACAAGAAUAGCAAACAGAGAUUAUGCAAAAUAUGAAAACUGUUUCGAUCUUGAUAAAACACUAAAUACGUUGGAAGGAAGACGCAGCGGUAGCUGGACAGCAGUGGUGGUGUCAUAACCCUCACGAGCAAAUAGAAUUUUGGUCGAGAAAAAUCUCGCUCGACCAUUUUGGAGUUGGUUCGACCAGAAUUAAAAAUAAAAAUCGACCCGGUGAAUUAUUCUUGACGAGACUGUCUUGUGGCCAAAAUACCUGCUCAUAAUAGUUCUGACUAAAUGUUAAUUAUUAUGGUCGAGUUUUAUCUAAGCUGGACGAGAACCGAUGGACGGAAAACAUUUGAUCGAGAACUGGUCAGGAAUACUUUCAGCCGCUUGUGAGUCAUGUGUGCUGCCUGCCUGCUUGAUUCAUUUAGAUUAUAAUGUGUCUGUCACAAGCUAUCUGCCUACUUGUUCAUUAAAUAAGUCACUUGCUGGUCACAAACUACUUGCUUCAGCUGCUUGUAGCUUUCUUCAUGGAAAGAAAAAGUUCAGCUGCUUGUGCUGCUUGGUGUGCUGAAGCAUGUCUCCACCUGUCUAGCUUCAGCUUUGCCUUGUGUGGGAAUAAACCCUCAUCUGAAGUAACUCUUUAUGCUUUAAAACACCUUCUUCUCUUCUCUGGACGUUCAUAACCUGCAGCAUAACAAGAGAAAUUUUCAGAGAGAAAACAAUGAGAAAGAAGAGAAAAAGUGAGAAAAAUCAGAACAAAAAAAUAUGGGAAAAUUAGCCACGACCUUAGAUGACUUUGUUCCAUCCUCUAGCUCAGUUCCCUGCUGUGUAGAAGAUCAGAAGUCCAGCCAUGAGUUCAGUUUCAAGGGGAGGAUUAUCUGAGUUCAUAUGGCCAUCAGUUGUUGUUGUAAGCUUCAAUCUCUUGUCUCGGACAUGUCUUGAUCAGAAUCAGAUGUUAUUUAGUUAAGCGGUUGUCAUGGAUCAAUUGUCUAACGUUUCUUCGGUUUAGAUUUAUUUAUUUCAGAAUAAAUCAGUUUGUUGGAAUAAAAUUAUCUCAUCUAUUAUGAACUGAUUGGAUUUAAUCUGAAAUGAACUGGUCAUGGUCUGGACUACACCUGAGCUAAACUGAUUAACCUUGUUGUAAACUAAGCUGUUUGGAACUGAUUCAAUCUCUUGUCUCGGACAUGUCUUGAUCAGAAUCAGAUAUUAUUUAGUUAAGCGGUUGUCAUGGAUCAAUUGUCUAACGUUUCUUCGGUUUAGAUUUAUUUAUUUCAGAAUAAAUCAGUUUGUUGGAAUAGAAUUAUCUCAUCUAUUAUGAACUGAUUGGAUUUAAUCUGAAAUGAACUGGUCAUGGUCUGGACUACACCUGAGCUAAACUGAUUAACCUUGUUGUAAACCAAGCUGUUAGGAACUGAUUUAAAUAUCUUCUUCAUAACCGAACUGUUGGAUUGAAGAUCAUGUUACGAACUGCUCUGUUUCAGGUCAGUGGUCGAGUAAAGUUAAAGGAUAAGACUGGUUCAUUAAGUAGAACCGUUUUCUGUCUAGGUAAGAACUUGAUCGUAGACUGAUCAUUUUCUUAGAACCACCUAGCAAAGGUGUAAGCUAAUGAACUGAACAGAGUGACUAAACCUAUUACUUGUGUUCUGUUUUGAUCAGUUGGUUGUGAAGUUUUGCUAGAUCGGUCCAGUCACUCCUUGUAGCCGCUCAGUCACUUGGUUUGAAUUCAGAUAUCAAGGAGAGUGGUCGGAUCAGUCAGAUAAUUGUGACCGUUUUGAAUCUCAAGUGUACCGGAAGUAGAGUGUGAUUAGCCUGAGCUCGAGUCUAGUCUUUAUUAGCCAAUCUCAUAGAAUCAAAGGUGAGUCUAGAUAGAUGGUUGAUCAAUACUGAAUGUAGAUGAUUGAUAGGCUUUGUCUCUUGAUCAAUAUUGAAUUGGCGAGGUGUUUACUUAGUGUAAACACUUAAUAAAUAUUUAUGAAUGAUCAUAGAGGUUUAUACCAAACCUAAGUACUUGUUCUCAAGUAUUAAUACAUACGUAUAGUAUUAAAUAUAUGAGUAUAAAUCAUGUGAAGUCUUAUUGUAUACUCACUCUCCCGAAAGUUCCCGCAUUACCGUGAAUUGUUCUUGUGAUACGGAACAAGAUCACGAAGACACGAUGAUGGGGUCGCACCCUGGAGGCCGUGUAACUGCAUGCAGCGUUAGUGUUCGAUCUUGGAAUAUCUAAUGGAUAUGGUGGUUAUAUUUAUUUCCCUGCUAGGUUCGGUUAGCCUUGGUAGUUUUCCGGGUUUAGUAUAUAUAUAUAUAUAUAUAUAUAUAUUAUAAGUAUGAGUGAAUGGCGGGUGUCGUGGAGGUGAUGUUUAAGAUACGAUUCACAUCGAUGGAAUGAUAGGCCUUAUAUAUGUAUUUUUAUUAGUUAUGGAAUACAAUUCCACUGCAUACAAAUGAAGUUGAUUGCUAUAGAUAUUACUAAUAUACGUUGGGGUGCGGGACUAUGCUCACUGAAUAAACUAGUUACUCAUGACUCAUAUGUGAUCCCAAAACAGAGCCUUUCUAAUUAACAUGAAUGCUAUCUCUAUUGCUAACCAUCCAACGUCAGCGCUGUGUUGUUGUCAAUGGUUUAAAUUUAAGUAAUGUGCAACGGUUUUAUCCUUCAUGUUAAUUAGAAUGGCCAGGUCUGUCUUUCUCUUGAUGAUUUAAAAUCUGAUUAUAUUCCUUGUUUUGAGAUCAGGUUACUCUGUUUUGAUUUUUGUGAGACAAUGACAAUCUAGACAGAUUUUAGAUAUUGAAAAAUUAUAAUCCUCCUAAUAUAUGUUCACGUGUUGCGAUCUUGUCUAUGUUUUGAUGAUUUAAGCUUGUGUUCCUGUGUUGCGAUCUUGUCUAUGUUUCGAUGAUUUAUUUUAUGCUUUUUUCCUGUGUUUGAAAAAUAAUGCGCUAUCUGUCUCUAAUAACCAACACUGAUCUCUCUUGUAGAAUCAUCCAGCAAGGAUCAUCCAGCUGUUCCCUCAGGUCGAUGCAAGACGAAAUGGGGUGUAUUUUUCGCUAGAAAACCACACUUUUACCAUUUGAGCUGGAGCAUUUCUGAUUAAUCUAGUGCAAAUACAAGUUUAUAUACGCAUAUAAACAUAAAAUGAUGAAAACUUAAUCCCGAUUAGUCUGUGAUUAAUCUCCGAGUUUAUGUUAACUCGCUAGGCCCGAGUGUGCCGUACGGAUAGCGCCUAGCGAGUUUCCGAACAUGAACUAUAAUAAAGCGCUGAGUGGGAGGCAACCCACUAAUAGGUAAUUUUACUUAGUUUUAUUUCGAAAUUGUUACUUAUUUUUGCAUUUAAUUUAUUGCAGGUAAAAAAAAAAGAGACCCAAGGAGAAGAUUGCCUAGUCUAUCGACCGAUGAGAGCAGAUUGACAUCGUUCGACAUUACCACACCAAAAUCGACCGACGAGCACUUACACAGGUCGAUCGACAAUCAACAUCAGCGAGUAGGUAUAUCGUUCUACCUUGUUACAUUAUGCACUUAUGAUUUAUUUUCCAUCAAACUCCGACUGGAUAGACACUGGUCGGGGACAGUGUAACUAAGUCUGGGGGAGGUUUACUGAUAUUUAGUUUAUUAUAUGAGUUUUAUAAAAUGUUUUUCAAAAUCGUUUUAUUAAGUCAAGAAAGUGAUAAUGAACUUUACAAUUUCACUUAUUAUCUAACCGCUCUCUAGCAUAAUAAAUCUACUUUGGUAUAUAUUUGGUAUCUAGGCAGGUGAUCCACUUUGGUAUUUCUAAUACACUCUGUAAUCAAUAAAUCUAAGAAGGUAAAAGUCUGUGUGUUUCUGAUUCAAUUCUCUCUCUCUCUUUUGGGCCUCUAUAUAAAUAAAAGAUUGAAAUGAUUUCCUGCGGGUUAGAGGAAUAGGAGUGUCUCAUGCGAUCCCAUUAUUCUACUCUAAUGGAAUGAUCACACAUCGUUGGAAGCAAAAGGUAGGUACAUUACCGAGGAACCCACUAUUCGCUUACACUUUGCCAAGAAAAGAAAAAGAAAAAAAAAGAAAAUCGAAAUGAAGGUGAAUAUAGAUGGAAUGUAUCAGCAUCAUUGUUCAUUUGAAUUGAGAUUUAGAGAAGAGAGAAAGAGGGAAGAAAUGGAUCAGAUAAGACUACAUGUGUGUUCAGAAACUUGCUUGAGUAAGAGUUCAUGUGUCUUUUGAUCGAUACUCCCAAGGUAAAGCCUACAUCUUUUAUAUAUGUAUUAAAUGAGACCAGUAGAAAGACGAGUCAGACAUUAUUAGCUAAGUUGCUGGUUAGAUGGAUUUGGUUGCUAAGCUAAGAUAUGGUAUAUAAGAUACUUCUAAAGUUAUAAUUGAUUUGAUGUGGCUUGCAACAUUGUAGAGGUGAUGAUAUGAGUUUUUAAAUUGUGUGAGUCCAUGCUGGUUUUAAAUCCUCUUUGCAAAUGCUACCCUUUGUUUUGCUUGAGGACAAGCAAAAAGGUAAGUCUGGGGGUGUGAUAUACCAUGGAUUUUACCCACUUUAAGCCAUGGUAUAUAUGUGUUUUAGGAACUAUCUAUGUUUUUUUGGAGUUCUUUUAGCACUUUUACAGGUUCAUGGAUGAUUUGGAGAAAAGUGGUGAUUUGAGUGCAUUUUGGAGAUAAAAUGGGAAGAAGCUCGAAGCUGACUAUCGAACAAGUUCGAGGUCGACAUUCAGAGUCUACCAUCGAUCGAUGCACACUCUAUGCUAUCAACCGACAGCGUAGCGCGCAAAUACCAACCGGCUUAAAACUCAAGUCAAGACAUAAUUACGAAAAUACUCCUGGCUGACUUUUAACCUAAUAUUUAUGUGUUCUACCUUUGUUCUAGGCAACACACGCAUUCUAUAAUAUUCCUAUUUUCUAGUUUCACACAACAAAGGUUUUAGUAUAUUUGGAGAGAAGGUCCAAAACUCCUUCAGAGAUUCGUAUUGGAACUCCACUAUUUCUAGCCUUAAUAUAUUUAUGAAUUCCUUUAUUUUAUUUGCGAUGAAUUCCAUUGAUAGUAUCGAUCGAUACUUUUUCCAGAUCAACAAAAGACAGUUGAGAUCUAAGAUCCAGACAAUAAAUAAUCUAAACCAACGAAAGUUGAUAGUUUAUUACUUUGUUUGAGUUCUAGAAUAUCCAAUAAACUACUCUAGCUUAUAUACUAUUAUAAUCAUGAUUACUUGAAUAGAAACCAUAAGUCUAACGCUUUCUCAUAAUUGUUUACAAAACCUCAAUACAAUCAACGGAACAACUGCCUUGUUUACCACUAUAAUUUACUAUUUUCAUAAUUGACCUAGCUUAACUAUAAACUGUUUAAUCUAUUUUGUGUGCCCGAGAGAUCCUUGUGGGUUUGAUCGCUAAUUACUACAACUCGACCUCUUAUUUGAGAGAGUACAAAUCAUUUAGAGUAAUUUGAGUGAUAUCAGUGUUAUUCAAUAGGUGAUUUAAAAUCAAUUGUCAAGUUUUAUAAUCAAUUAAAAUUUUAAAUUUAAACAUUGUUUUUAGUUAAUGAAUUCUAAAAUCUAUGCAGUGUACUUGGAUUUUGAUUUCAAUUAUUUGUUCAUGAAAAUCCACCACAAAUCAUUUGAAAUCAAUUUUAAAUACAAAGAAUUUUAAAAUAUUUUGAAGUUGAAUAAAACUAGAUUUUAAAAACUAGAUUUAAAUUAUUCAUUGGAAUAACACCAGAGCUUAAAUUAAAUUUAUAAAUACCAUAUCCAAUAACACUAGAUUUUAAAAUAUAAUUUAUAAUCAUCAUUGGAAUAACGAUGGAUUUUACUUACAUUUAAAUUCUAUUAAGAUGAUGAUUAUUUUUCUAGUGUUUAGAUUCUAGUUUUUGGUUUUUGGUUUCUGGAUUUUAGUUUCUGAUUUUUGGUUUUUGAUUGUGGAGUAGAUUUUGGUUUUUUGAAAAACACGAAUGGUUGUUUUAGUUUUGGUUUUUGGUUUUUACUUUAAAAAUUAAUAAAAUAAAAGUAUUAUUAAUAAUAAAAUAUUUAUUCUGAAAAUAAUAAAAUAUAAAUCACUGUCAUCAAAAUACACAUAAAUUUAUUUACAAAAUUAUUUGAAAAAAUGUAAAUACAAAAUAAAACUAUUAUAAAUUCCAUAUAAAUAUACAUUAAUUUUAUCUUGAAUGCCUUUCAUAUUUGAUCUCAAAUGCUAUUAUAGAAGUAAUUAAGUGUUAUAAAUAAAAUAAUAAUAUCAUACAUUUGAUGAUUUUUUUUUCUAAAAUAAUUUUGCACAUAUAUUUUUAUGGUUGUUGUAUAAAUAAUUUCUAUAGCAAUUAAUUAAAAUAGUAAUUUUCAAAAUAAAAUUACCUUUUGAAAUAUUUUUGAACUUCUUUAGUACUUACAAACUAGUUGUAUGUAUAAUCACUUUAAUAACGUACAAUUUUCUUUUGAUGAUGUUAUAGUGAAGUGAACGUAUGAGAGUGGGAAGGAGGCAUAACCAUGAGAUUAAUAUGAAAAAAAAACCAUUAAAAAGAAAAUGAUAAAUAAAAAAUAUAAUAAAAUAAAAUCAUAGUUGGAACUUGGCAGAAAUCUAAACACACACAGAUUUUGGUUUUUGUGUACAAUUAGUUUUUAGGGGAUCAUUUUUAGUAAAAUCUUGAAUGGCAAAUAAACUAGUUUUUCAAAAACAAAAACCAAAAAUCAUUUUAAAAACUACAAACAAUCAACCUCUAAAAUACAAUGACUGAAUAACACCAAUAUAUAUGUAUAUAUUUUUUUUUGAUAAAAACGUUAUGCAAAAUUGUCGCUUGUAACUUUGUAAGUGCUUGCAUCAAAUGUCUAAUAUAUAAAACCUUCAGGGCAAAUGCAAGUUCUUAUACGCUUGAGACGUUGUGAUACACAAAUAUGAAUGUAUAAAUAUAAUUGUUUUUUUUAGAAAGAUUGCAAAUAAACAGAAGUAGCUCAGAUUUCCAAAUACAUAAUGCUCUCAAAAUCAUCCCAAUAAGUCGUAUGCAAAGACUCAGUCUCAAAAGGGAGGCGCUCCCGCAAUUUGGACAAUAUAACCCCUUCUAUCUUCUUACAAGUAUACAGAUCGCAAAUGAGAUGCAAUGAACAGUAAUCAGUCUUAGAGAAGACCAUAACCAUACCCUCACGACUAGUACCCUUCACGGACAACUCACCCGGGAUGAUAACAUCGAUGUUUGAAAUAGGCAAAACAAAAGUCUUCUUGUUUGACCAUUGACUCACAUCCUCCAAAACCCACAGGUCCAAACGCAGAUCACUCGCCAGAUGUGGGGAGUAGUCGAAGACAGCAAGUUUUCCUCUAUAGUUCAUUAGAUUGGUGCCAGCAUGAAGGGGUAAUUUGAUCAAAUUGAACUUCUCGGAGCUCAUGUUAAAACUCACAACCACAAAUGUAUUCUCGCCAGUCCAUGCACCAUAAUACAAGACACCGUCCAUGGAGAUACCUUGCGAGCAAGGACGAUGCGGAGCGACGCUUUGGGUGACUCUCCUCCAAGAAGCUCCAGGGCCAAGUACCAACACAUGAUGGUCGGAUCUCACUACUCUCUCUUGUGCCAUCUCCCAAGUUAGACUAAUCACUUUGUAUUCCUCCUGAAUAGGAUCGUAUCCAAAGUGGUUCCACAUAUUGGAAUCAUCUCCCAAGAUAUUCUAAACAACUAUUGGCAACUCCACGUGCUGCUUGGUGGUGAGGUUACAGAUCCUCACGCUUCUCCCAAUUCUGCAACACAUCAAUCCCUCAAGAGGGUUCACCAAGCAGCCUCCCAUUCCUGGUAUUGUCACAUAUUCCUCGAGUUGGAAGACUGUCGCCUUCAAGUUCGUAAUCAAUUGAGAGAGCAGGGCAUAGUCGCCGUGGCCAUCCCUGUCCACUAGGUACAUGAACAGACGCCGUUCACGUAGUGGCUAUGGAACUUUACGGAAAUGAUUAGCGAAAUAACUGGAUGAGAUGAUGGAAUACCAGAGACUAGAGACACACUUGAACUGCAUCAAUAAAUUCGCGGGCAAUCUCGCCAAGAUCUGCAUCAACACAUCCUCAGGGAGCUCCGGAAGGUCAACGGCUACUGGUGGUUUUGAAUCGGGCUUGUGAAGGAGGACUUUUCUAUUCCGUUUGAGUUUGGAUCUUUUCAUCUUCUUCUUCGUCAAACCUUUCACCACAGCAAUACGGAAAGAUAACCCCACCAUAGCUUACAGAUCUAUUGUUCCUGAACUCUGUCUAUCUGCGUUUUUUUUUCUUUUUAUAUUGAAAAUCAGAACUCACAGAGAAUUGUACUUUUCCCCCUUUUUCAGCCAAUAGAUUUUUUUUUUUUUUCCCAACGAUAUUAUUAUAAACGGGCCAAGCCCAGGGACAAAGCCCACCAAAUCAA